GCGAAAGCUAGUUGUAUUAAUUAUUAGUUAAUGCAAGAUCGACUAUGUCGACUAAAGUUCUAGGUAGAAUAAUGAUGAUGACAAUUUUCUACCUAUAUGUCUUGACCAAAUCUCGUGCCAGCAGUCGCGGUAAUACGUGAAAGACUAGUGUUAUUCAUCUUUAAUAGGUUUAAAGGGUACCUAGACGGUAUUUUUAGCCCAAAACAGGGUACGGACUUACUAGAGUUUUAUGUGAGAAGGGGAGUACUUGUAGAGUAGAGAUGAAAUUUUGUGAUACUAUGAGGAAACUGGUGGCGGCGAAAGCAACCUUCUAUGUAUUAACUGACGUUGAGGGACGAAGGCUUGGGUAGCAAAUAGGAUUAGAGACCCUAGUAGUCCAAGCAGACAAUUCUGAAUGCCAUAGAUUAGAUUAUUUUUGGUCUAUAAAUGAAAGUGUAAGCAUUCCACCUUAGGAGUAAUGUGGCAACACAGGAACUGAAAUCAUUAGACCGUUUCUGAAACCAGUAGUGAAGUAUGUUAUUUAAUUUGUUAGUCCUCAAAAAACCUUACCACAACUUGAAUGUUAUUAAAUUAAUACAAGCGUUGCACGGCUGUCUUCAGUUAAUGUCGUGAGAUUUUGGUUAACUCCAUUAAUUAACGUAAAC
rnacentral:rRNA from 1 species